rnacentral:sRNA from 1 species
UGAAAUAACUUUCUCUGUUUACAGCCUA